GGCUGAAAUUCGCCUUCAUGAAGUCGGAAUUGCUAGUAAUGGCAGGUCAGCAUACUGCCGUGAAUACGUUCCCGGGCCCUUGUACACACCGCCCGUCACACCAUGAGAGUUGGGAAUACCCGAAGCCUGUGAGCCAACAAACGAGGCAGCAGUCGAAGGUAGAAUCAAUGAUUGGGGUGAAGUCGUAACAAGGUAUC
rnacentral:rRNA from 1 species